rnacentral:rRNA from 1 species
GACGAACGCUGGCGGCGUGCUUGACACAUGCAAGUCGAACGGUGACGACUGGAGCUUGCUCCGGUCUGAUCAGUGGCGAACGGGUGAGUAACACGUGAGUAACCUGCCCCAGACUCUGGAAUAACCCCGGGAAACCGGAGCUAAUACCGGAUACGAGACGGAGAGGCAUCUCUACCGUCUGGAAAGUUUUUCGGUCUGGGAUGGACUCGCGGCCUAUCAGCUUGUUGGUGAGGUAACGGCUCACCAAGGCGACGACGGGUAGCCGGCCUGAGAGGGCGACCGGCCACACUGGGACUGAGACACGGCCAGACUCCUACGGGAGGCAGCAGUGGGGAAUAUUGCACAAUGGGCGAAAGCCUGAUGCAGCGACGCCGCGUGAGGGAUGACGGCCUUCGGGUUGUAAACCUCUUUCAGCAGGGAAGAAGCGAAAGUGACGGUACCUGCAGAAGAAGCACCGGCUAACUACGUGCCAGCCGCCGCCGUAAGAC